UGGGGAAUUUUCCGCAAUGGGUGAGAGCCUGACGGAGCAACGCCGCGUGAGGGAGGACGGCCUGUGGGUUGUAAACCUCUUUUCUCAGGGAAGAAGAUCUGACGGUACCUGAGGAAUCAGCAUCGGCUAACUCCGUGCCAGCAGCCGCGGUAAGACGGAGGAUGCAAGCGUUAUCCGGAAUUAUUGGGCGUAAAGCGUCCGUAGGUGGUUAGUCAAGUCUGCUGUUAAAGCCCACAGCUCAACUGUGGAUGGGCAGUGGAAACUGACUGACUUGAGUGUGGUAGGGGUAGAGGGAAUUCCUAGUGUAGCGGUGAAAUGCGUAGAUAUUAGGAAGAACACCAGUGGCGAAGGCGCUCUACUGGGCCACAACUGACACUGAUGGACGAAAGCUAGGGGAGCGAAAGGGAUUAGAUACCCCCGUAGUCC
rnacentral:rRNA from 1 species